CACACUAGCACGCUUCCUGAGCAUGUAAAAAAGUUGGUCCUUUAUUCUAUGAGCAUGUCUACGCAGUUUACGUUUGGCAGCGUGCGCGUGCGUCUAGCCACAUAAGUACGGGUGCCAAAUCCUCUUCUCAUCUGACAGUUCGCGCAUUGGUGAUAAGCUCACCGAAACCUCUGUUCGUGCUGCAUGAAAUGGUUGUCGUCGGAUCGUCGUCGUUGUGCUGGCUGGGAAACACCCGAAGGAAGGAGCACGACGAGCGCACGCAAAACUAAGCCGGUGGUCCUGAUGCAGCUCGUCAUGAUGGAUAGGACGGGCGCGGUUCGAUUGCGGACGUUGCCAGGUGCUGUCCAACUACCACGAGAAGGACUCCCUGUGACGCCAGGAAAUGGACCUCCUGUGACUCAGCUCGGCUCCAGGAAAGCAUUGUCAGCUUCCGUGAUUGAAUGCUGUGCCUCGUGGGCAUACUUUGAGGAGUCGUGAAGGCAAGCUUUGGAAGAUAUCCACAGGUCUGAGGCUAUCUCCUUGCCCCCCGUCUACCUUGCAGCGACAGUUACAUUUUGCUAGGUCAGAUGGCGUCGGCUUUGAGAGAGCUGGCUUUUAUGGCGUGCCCUCCGACGUCCGCUGCACUAAUGCGCAUCACAAAUUAUUUAUUCGUUAUUUUCCAGUCACACGAUGGUGCGUUGGCGACACCGAGAUUUAUCUCCAGAGAGGGGUUUGAGGCUGCCCUGUUGUAGCAAAACAUUUUGAUCGAAGUACUAUUGAUUACCGCAACACUUACGGGUAAAUGAGUUUCUGAAGCUGCCGCAGAACAGUAUGCACGAGCCUUAUUCAAAGCUACAUUAUUCGGAUACAGUAAGGCCGCAUGUCCUGCCAAAACUAACGCGCCAGGUUUUCAAGUGAACAUUCCCGUUCUUUGCUGACCGUCGUUGUUACUGCUGCUGUGUUGCCGAAUAGCUCAACACAGCAGCGCACACAUGUAACGCGUCACCUUACAGAUACAGCCUUAUCCGUAGAGACUUGACAAUGGCCGGCUCUGUACUCUACAGAAUUACGCAA